rnacentral:lncRNA from 1 species
GUUUUUUUUUAAAUUAUUAUGCUAAAGGCAGGUUCUCUUACCUGUUUUCUUUAGGUGCUAAGGCAGUGAGGUAAAGAAUAGUCAUUCAAAUUGUGCAUGUUGAGAAACAAUCCAUUGCUGAAGGAUUACUUCCAUAUUGGAAGUAAUCUUUAGAGAUUCUUUGGAGAAUCGUUAGAGAUUCUUUAGAGUUUCUUUAGAGAAACUGAACCUAUACAGGGAACAUAGAAAGGAUUUAUUGGGUUGGCUCACACUAUACAGUCUGGAUAAUUGUACAAGGGCUGUAACACACUGGAGAGGCCAAGAAUUUGAUAGUUACUUCAUCCAUAGGCUAGGUGCUCCAGGAAUCUUAAUCUGGUGCUGAAGACUAACAUUCCCAGAGAGCUACUGGUUUUCAUUUUAUGGUGCAAACCAAAAGAAGCUUGGUUUAUAGUACAAGACCAAUAACCAUAGAAAAUUAAAGAAUUCUGAGCAUGUCUAAAGUAUACAAGGCUAAGCUGUCUUGUUAAAGUCCUUUAAUUUUUGUAAUGGCUUUAUUAUGAUAAGAAACCAUUUACACAUUGAUAAAUAUAGUCAUCAUGUUGCACAACAGGUCUUUUGAAUUUGUUUCUGCAAUCUAUUUGACCAAUAUUUCAAAGCCUAUCUUGUAUGCUUUGGUAAUCAUCAUUUUACUGCUUCUUUUAGGAUUUUUUUUAGAAAAAACGAUUCCAUGAACAGUAACAUGAUACAAUGUCUUCAUUUGACAACUGAAGAAUUGAGGCCCAUGUCCAUCGUAUGGGAAAAGAGCUGUGUGAGGAGAAUUCAGAGUGAUGUGGGGCUGCUCCAAGAGAAGAGGGAAGGAGUUUUUUCCUCAGUUUCUUCAGAACAGCACUUGGUCCUGGUUUCCAUGUUCCUCCAGGGUAGUGGAUGGGAAUCAAUUAACUUCAGAUUACUCUUUAUUGCUUGCUGUUGUUAUUCAUAUAUACUUUAUAUGCCUCUGUGGAAAAAACAGGGGUUGCCAUAUGCAGCUCAUCUUGUGAUUGUGUACAACUUGAGCUAAUACAAAUUUUACCUGUGUGAACUUUUUAACUAUCGUGUGUGUGUGUGUGUGUGUGUG